rnacentral:RNase_P_RNA from 1 species
AAAGCAGAUCACCUUAUCGCUGUCCGUUUUUGACGGAGAGAGGAAAGUCCGGACACCAUAGCACAGUAUAGCGGGUAACUCCCGUCAUUCUGAGUAAUCAGAAGAGGACAAGUGCAACAGAAAGUAUGUACAGGUAAUGCUGUAGUGAAACCAGGUAAACUCUAUACGGUGCAACGCCAUGUAAACUAGCUUUUGAGGGUUGUGCGCCCAAUGUUAGAGGGUAGGCGGUUUGAGCUAAUAAGUAAUUGUUAGUCUAGAUAAAUGAUAAGGAUAUUCGUUUCGGCGAGGAAACAGAAUCCGGCUUAUGAUCUGCUUUUUUA